CGCUAGAAGAGCUGGGGUAGCCGUGUAGCUCAGUGGAGUGUUUUUCUGGCAUACCCAAGGCCAUGUAUUGAUCCUCACCACUGCAUAAACCAGGAAUUUUUAGUCCUGGAAUGUGAAGUAGAGUCAAAACUGGGCAAUACAGAGAGGGUUCCUUGAUUUGGACGAGACAGAGCCUGCAGGAUUGAGUGGCUACCUUUGGGUCUAAGGUCAGUGGUGAGUUACUGUUCCUUUUUGACUGUGACAGGCCCCCCC
rnacentral:lncRNA from 1 species